rnacentral:siRNA from 1 species
UGCCGGUGUGCAUGUUGUUGG